AGAGUUUGAUUCUGGCUCAGGAUGAACGCUAGCUACAGGCUUAACACAUGCAAGUCGAGGGGCAGCGAGAGUGUAGCAAUACACUUGUCGGCGACCGGCGCACGGGUGAGUAACGCGUAUCCAACCUGGCCCUUAGUAGGGGAUAGCCCGGCGAAAGUCGGAUUAAUACCCUAUGUUCUCCUUUGAGAGCAUUCGAGCAGGAGCAAAGAUUUAUCGCUAGGGGAUGGGGAUGCGUCCGAUUAGGCAGCAGGCGGGGUGACGGCCCACCUGGCCGACGAUCGGUAGGGGUUCUGAGAGGAAGGUCCCCCACACUGGUACUGAGACACGGACCAGACUCCUACGGGAGGCAGCAGUGAGGAAUAUUGGUCAAUGGGCGCGAGCCUGAACCAGCCCAAGUAGCGUGAGGGACGACGGCCCUACGGGUUGUAAACCUCUUUUGCCGGGGAAUAAAGUGCGCCACGCGUGGCGUUUUGUAUGUACCCGGAGAAUAAGGACCGGCUAAUUCCGUGCCAGCAGCUGC
rnacentral:rRNA from 1 species